rnacentral:rRNA from 1 species
GACGAACCGUGCGAACGUUGUUCGGAUUCACUGGGCUUAAAGGGCGCGUAGGCGGGCGGUCAAGUCGGGGGUGAAAUCUUUCAGCUUAACUGGAAAAGUGCCUCCGAUACUGAUCGCCUCGAGGGAGGUAGGGGCAUGUGGAACUUCCGGUGGAGCGGUGAAAUGCGUAGAUAUCGGAAGGAACGCCGGUGGCGAAAGCGACGUGCUGGACCUCUGCUGACGCUGAGGCGCGAAAGCUAGGGGAGCAAACGGG